UACUUAUGAUGUAGCACACAUAAUAAACAUACAUGCAAUUUUGUUUUUGACUGCUAUUGUCAAUGUUUACCAAGCGACAAGGGAGUUAGCUGAUACAUCAAAAAUCUUUCUUUGAUUUGUUAGAUAAUAACUAGGAAGGAGAAGAAGAAAAAUGGGACAGCUUGUGCCUCUGAUGGUUGGUGAAUGAGAGAUGGUUCAUCAACGGUCAUUGAGAUUCUAAGUCGACCAUACAAAGGUUAAGUACGAUUUGGUGCUAAGGGAGAGGUUAGAUAAAAUUUUAAAUAAGUAAUCUCGUGAAAAAUAUGUAGUUAACAUGAGUUAAUUAAAUGUUUGACUGUAUUAGGCAUGAGGGAUCAUGGUUGAGUGCAUGAUAGCGAUGAGGUUCUUAUGGACGUAUGCACCGCGGAAAAGACUGAGUAAAUACAGAGAACACAUGUUUCUUUAACAAGAGUUGAGAUAAACCCACCUAUGAGUGUAGACGGAGGCACAUAGUCAUCUACCAACUCAAGGAUACUUUCUAUGGGUGAAUUCAUG
rnacentral:lncRNA from 1 species